rnacentral:sRNA from 1 species
GUCACUGGUGGUGAACCGCAUCCGACGC